GUCGUUCGCAACGUAGGUUGUUGGAAAUUUGUUUGCUGAGCGGGAAUAAAUGGCGGGUUUUCUGAAACAGUAGUCCCAAUUAUGGAGCAACAUCAAAGGAAAUGAUUGAAAUGCACGUAAAUAAUAUCAUCGACGCCACUUGUGCUUCAUUUUCGUCUACGGUAACAUGUCACGUGACGCAUUUAAUUGGUUUACGGAUGUGCUUUGUGGUAGAUAAUCCGAAGAAAUGUAUUUUCACAUCUCAUUCCUGGUAUAUUGAAGCACAAAACUAUGAUUAGCCCAAGCAGAAACAAUGGUGCUAUCAGAAGAUGAAAUUUUAACGUUAUUAGUGACAGAGCCAUAGCAUGAAGAUUCUUGCCCAAGAUCGAAAAAAAUGAGGUAUCAUUAAGCAUAUUACCUUCCAAGUACUGUAAAAUGUGCUAUUGUGUUGUAUGAUAACUGCUAAAUGUUUUCCACUUUAUUUGUUCUACCACCACGGUAGCUUAUCAUUUGGAAUAAAAAAUUUGGUCAGACAAGUUUGACCGAGAGUUAAUACCUUCCUGAAAUAGUCUCUAUUCGAGCAAGCAUGAUAAUGAGACUGGUGAAAAUAUCUACAGGGGGACUUGGACUACCAUCUGGUAGUAAUAAUGAAUUACCUACAAUGGACUUGUAGUUUGCCAUGAUAGUGGUUUCUUUAUAAUAAUAGGAUGUUGAAGAGACCAAAGAAAAGCAUUCAGUAAGGGAAAGUAAACUAUAACCCACUUCAAGUCUGCCUACCCCAACAGUGAUGCAUCUUCUGAUGGGCUACAACAUUUAGCAGCUGCCAUCCAAAAACUUUGGUACAAGUUUUUCC